rnacentral:tRNA from 1 species
AUAAAAUUAGUUUAAAAAAACAUUAAUUUGUCAAAUUAAAAUUAUUCCUCAAAUAAAACCUAUAAAUUGAAUUUUUUUAUUUUUAA